UUAACGUCAAUGCAAAACGCUGACGGGUUCCCUUUCGUCAACCUGCUAAAAAGAUUAUCGUGGUAUCACCUAUUCUAUCAAGUGUACAAAACAUCUACGUCAAAAAUCUCAAACAGGAGGCUAGAUGCACUCGCUGUGGAAGAGCACUGGGUGGGCUAGCCAUCGAAUGGUACGGUGCGCAACACUGAAGACGUUAUUAACGUCAGAGCGAGAUUGAAGCAGUAACAAAGAUUCGUAGACGAAUCACUGGACGCUGACCAAAUACGCGUAUGACGUAUGGCAGAGCAGAGCGUCCGCUGUCCGACCCGGUACCUAUUGUUGAGGCUCUUCACGCCAGUCAAAGGCCAUGUCGCUCUUCUCGGAAUGGUCGCCAGCGGCAGAUCAAUGAAGAAUCGCAUAUUGAAAUGACGGUGUCACUGUAACAGAUUCCUAUGAUCGAUAGAUAUAUGAAUAACUUGCGAAAUAUUAUAUACAAUAUUGUGCAUACGAGCAGCCAACUAUCGAACUAUAAUACAACUUCACCCGUUGAGUCGCAUGUUGCUCCCAACUUCGAGGCUUCACAAACUGCGCAUCGGCCGAUUACGGCGAUAUGAUGAUAAUGACACACGGUAUUGCCAGUGAACAAAUCUUAGUACGAACAAAGGAGGUAAAUCUAUGAAAUGUUCCAUGUUCAGAUACAAAAACAACUCGAAACGGUUUUGGUGCUGAUUCUUUUUAUUCUAAACGUUUAAUAGAAGCUUAUGAGAGGUGGUCGACAUGCGAUUAUCGAUAUCUAGAGAAAACGACCCACAGAUUGACAUACAACGUUUGUGUUACCGUGUCCUGGCAACCGUUGAACUGCAUUGUGAGAAUUCAAUAUUUAUAACGUAACCAGCGAUGUGACCUACAUACUUUAUAAUUGUCUUAUUACCCAACACUGUGUUUCUACUUGUCAAAAGUGGAAAAUAGCCAACUUUAUAAACCGCGUAGACAGUCUCUUGAAAAACGUACAGGCGGAUCAAAACUAGGGCUUCUUGAGGUGACAAUGCUAUAAUGAAUGAUACGAUCCAAGGGAUACGGCCCACGAGGUGGACAGUAGGUCUGGUUUGGCCGUACGCUAUCGUAUAAGCGAUUUGUAAUCUAGAAAAUUUUGUGACCCCUUCAACUUGUAACUAUGAUAGACCAGGCAUCCGAAUUUCGUUUUUCCGAUUUAAAGAAAGUUAAAACUGUCCACUCUUCAAGCUACUCCAUUUGUUCUUUACCAUUUCAUUAUCUUUCGUAUACAAAAAUACAAACAAUUUUCUCAAAACGUGGCCAAAGAGUAGGCCGAUGAUAGUACCUGCUGCGUAUAAUUUCUUUCGAAUAUUCGUCACGGAAAAAAUGAAAACA